rnacentral:lncRNA from 1 species
ACAGGGCUGCGCUCCACACCUGUGCCACCUUGCUCCUUUGCGUCCCACCCUGAGCGCCACUGGGUGACAAGUGACAGCUGCCCUCUGCACUGCGGGUUCUCACCGUGGAUUCCAGCCGCCUCGGGUGGAAACGUCUGGGGGAAGAAUCGGCCCUGCGCCUGCUCGUGCAGCCCUGUUGUCCUGCCCAGCCACCAGCCUGACCGCCGUGGGCCAGCCCUGGCCCUGCCUUAGGCGCGACUCCCCAGGGACCGUGUGCAGGACAGCGGGGCGGUGGGCGUCCAUGUGGACACCACCCACUGUGUCCAUGAGGCACCUGGCAUCCCUGGACUAUGGCACCCAACCCCCUGUGGACGCCAAGGGCCCACUGUACACCCAAGUCCACGUCCCUGUCACCACCUUCACAGCCACCAGCACAGUGCAGAUGCCACAGUCCUCACCUGCCUGGGCCCAUGACAACUGGCUCUUCCUGCCUGUGUCCUGGCCUCCCGCUGUGCACCGCUGCGGCCACAUGGCUGGAGAAGACAUCUUAGAAGACAAACGGAGCCGCGCGCCGUGGCCCUGGUGACCGCGCGGCUCAGGAGGCUGAGGCAGGAGGAUCUUGAGUUCAAAGCCAGCCUCAGCAAAAGCAAGGCCCUCAGCAACUCAGUGAGACCCUGUCUCUAAGUAAAAUGCAAAAUAGGGCUGGGAUGUGGCGCAGUGGUCCAUUGUCCCUGAGUUCAACCCCUGGUGCCAAAACAAACAAACAAACAGAACCCAAGUAGG